GACCGUUAAGAUUUAUGUUUUAUUUAUGAAUUUCAUAAAAUAUUCUAAUCAGGUAUCACAGAAAUUGCAAUUCACAAUAAAAUGGACAAAGGUUUUACACAAAAUGGUUUUACACUGAGUUACAGCAGUUAAUCUGACAUAUAACAUGAUUUCACAACAUACAUCAUGGUGAUGGCAGUCUAGAAAUGGUUUUUUCACAAAUUUGAGAUUCCUCAGUCAUGAAAUAAUGGACAAAAAAUGUUUGUUAAAACACAAAUAAUUAGACACAGCAAAUUAUUGUUGUACAAUUUCACAGGCACAAAGCUCAGCUGAGAUGUUUAAAAUAUUGAAAUACUAACAACACUAAAAUUACCUUACUAAAAUUUACUUAUCAACCAGUCAAAAUUAAAUAUCUUUAGGCCUACUAUAAAGAAAAAUAAUACUUAAUCUAAGUAAUAUUGUACACCACUGUAAAAAUAUAUAAUUGAUGUGUGUAUUUCUGAUAAUAAGUCUUCCCUUCUAGUGUUAAAACUCAAAGGGGUAACAAACGAUUUUCUCAAUUCAGGGAAAUUACCCCUAAAAGGGGUCAAUUGACGAUACAGACUUGGUUCAUUUAUUGUGAAGCACUGAGCUAAGAUCCAAGGCUAGUUAAAUAGCAAAAGUUAUGAACAAAGGGAAAUAAUUCACAAUUCUAAACUUUAAAAUACUUUUCACAAUUGAAAUUUCAAUAAUGAAUUAAUCCAAUUAGUACUUCCAUCACCUUAAAAUUUAACACAAAUUCAAUUUUUCAAUGUCUCAACACAGUGAAUAUUAAAUUAAAGUCUCCAUGAUUUCACAACCUUUAGUCUAAAUUGAAAUGCCUUAGGGUGCAAUCAACAGUUUUUUUUCUAUGACGUCAUAUUUUGAGGGACCAUGUAUAAGUGACCCUUAGUGGUGGACUGAUUAAUAAAGAUACUUGUAUCAAACUAGAUAUCACUGGAAUCAGGAUGUUCUCUAGUUUAUAAUGGAAUAAAAAAAAUAUAAAAGUUUUAUCUAGAGAAACUGGGAAAAACAUUGCCUAAUUUAAGCUUAAAAAACCUGAAAUCAGGUCAUGUGCACACCC
rnacentral:lncRNA from 1 species